rnacentral:lncRNA from 1 species
UAAUCGAAAAACAAAAGAUAAGGGGCGGGUCCCCUAUUUUUCUGAUUUUUCUAAACUUUCUCGCCGGUCGAACCUUACCGCCAACCCUUCCUUGCUCUGUCGUUGUCGACUAGAUGCCGCCACUUGCUGUCAGACCUCCGGCCAUGUCGCUGCCCCUUGUCGGAGCUCGAGCCACCAAGCUCCUCCCUCUAGUCCUCCCCU